GAGAGCGCAGUACAAUGGAGAGUUGUAUACUGCGUUCGGGAAGGAUGAAUCGCUCCCGAAAAGAAAUUUAUUGAUUCUCUUCCAAUUGGUUGGACCGUAGGUGCGAUGAUUUACUUCAC
rfam:Capsicum annuum cultivar Zunla-1 chromosome 3, whole genome shotgun sequence